rnacentral:tRNA from 3 species
GGAUGGGUGGCCGAGUGGUUGAAGGCACCGGUCUUGAAAACCGGCGAGGCGGCGACGUCUCCGUGGGUUCGAAUCCCACCCCAUCCGCCA